rnacentral:sRNA from 1 species
CAGUGUAAAGCGAAUUGGGGCGUGUGAUGAACAGGUUGGCAGAUUUUGUUGGCAACCACAGGAGUCAGAAAUUUUUUUGUUGUUUCAUACGGAAGAAGGGAAAAAAAAAGGAAGAUCGCAAGAUCUAGAGCAAUGUGGCUAACAUAUAGGUGCUUGAGAUGGUGAUCUCAAAUUUUUGUCUUUUGAGCUUUUGGUUAGGAGGGUUUAGAGAGAGAUAGAGCUAGUCUUGAGAGGAGUUGUAUAUACUAUCUGCUCAUUAUAAUAAUUAAUCAAAGGCUGCAGCUCCUUGU